rnacentral:rRNA from 1 species
GUGAGUAGUUCAGAGUUUGAUCCUGGCUCAGGACGAACGCUGGCGGCGUGCCUAACACAUGCAAGUCGAACGGGACUUAAUGGAAUGCGACUUCAGUCAAAGGAAAUUAAGUUUAGUGGCGAACGGGUGAGUAACGCGUGAGGAACCUGCCUUCCAGUGGGGGACAACAGUUGGAAACGACUGCUAAUACCGCAUAACAUAAUCGAACCGCAUGAUUUGAUUAUCAAAGCUUUAUGUGCUGGAAGAUGGCCUCGCGUCUGAUUAGCUAGUUGGUGGGGUAACGGCCCACCAAGGCGACGAUCAGUAGCCGGUCUGAGAGGAUGAACGGCCACAUUGGGACUGAGAUACGGCCCAG